CCUACGGGCGGCAGCAGUGAGGAAUAUUGGUCAAUGGACGAGAGUCUGAACCAGCCAAGUAGCGUGAAGGAUGACUGCCCUAUGGGUUGUAAACUUCUUUUAUAAAGGAAUAAAACGAGGCACGUGUGCCUUUUUGCAUGUACUUGAAGAAAAAGCAUCGGCUAACUCCGUGCCAGCAGCCGCGGUAAUACGGAGGAUGCGAGCGUUAUCCGGAUUUAUUGGGUUGAAAGGGUGUGUAGGCGGACUGUUAAGUCAGCGGUAAAAGCCCGGGGCUCAACCCCGGCGAGCCGUUGAAACUGGCUGUCUUGAGAUGUCGAGAGGUAUGCGGAAUGCGCAGUGUAGCGGUGAAAUGCUUAGAUAUUGCGCAGAACUCCGAUUGCGAAGGCAGCAUACCGGCGGCGAUCUGACGCUGAGGCACGAAAGCGUGGGUAUCGAACAGGAUUAGAUACCCCUGUAGUC
rnacentral:rRNA from 1 species